rnacentral:rRNA from 1 species
AGGGAAAGAGGGGGGCAUGCCUUACACAUGCAAGUCGAACGGUAACAGGUCUUCGGAUGCUGACGAGUGGCGAACGGGUGAGUAAUACAUCGGAACGUGCCCGAUCGUGGGGGAUAACGAGGCGAAAGCUUUGCUAAUACCGCAUACGAUCUACGGAUGAAAGCGGGGGAUCUUCGGACCUCGCGCGGACGGAGCGGCCGAUGGCAGAUUAGGUAGUUGGUGGGAUAAAAGCUUACCAAGCCGACGAUCUGUAGCUGGUCUGAGAGGAUGAUCAGCCACACUGGGACUGAGACACGGCCCAGACUCCUACGGGAGGCAGCAGUGGGGAAUUUUGGACAAUGGGCGAAAGCCUGAUCCAGCCAUGCCGCGUGCAGGAUGAAGGCCUUUGGGUUGUAAACUGCUUUUGUACGGAACGAAAAGCCUCUUUCUAAUAAAGAGGGGUCAUGACGGUACCGUAAGAAUAAGCACCGGCUAACUACGUG